CGAGGGCCUUGGCGGUCCGCACGGGCAUGGUGAAGAUGGAGCAGGUGUAUUCCCCCUCAUCCGACAGCACCACGUCGCUGAUGCUGAUGGUCAGCUCGUUGGGUGUGGACCUCUCCAGCUGGAUCCUGUUGUCUCGUAGGGCUGGGGGACGACAAGGGGACGAGGGGUGAGCGAUCAACGCCGCCGCGCUCCCCGUAGGUGGGGAUGGACGACCAGCUUCGCCCCCAAUCCACCUCCCCUCUGCCCGCCCUGCGCACACACCUCGUUUCUCCCCAAAGUAGAGGGUCUGCUGGGCAGGGUUGGACCACUGCAGCGAGGAGUCAUCAGGGUCCUCCACCUGGCACUUGAGCACCACUGUGCCACCAGCCACCACCGUCUCAUCCGACGUCGUGGGUUGGCUCACUGCACGCAAGAGAGGAGAGCUCAGGGAGGGCGCCUCGGGCUCUCACCCCCAAAUUUGGGCCCCGUAUCCAUCCUACGGGCUCCUGAGCUCUGCACAUCCCUCCCAACCCGCGUUUCCUUCGCGCAGACAUCGCCGCCAAGCAGCCCAAGGGCAGAGAGGAGCAGCAGGAGGAUCAGAUAACCCCAGCUGCCCCAAGGACGGCUAUUUUGGGACGGCCGCCGCGCCGUGCUGCCCCACGGGGAAGGGAGAUGUCAGCUUGCCCAGCCUGGAGGUCGGACGCAACCUCCAUCCCAUGCUGGAUGUGGGGCUCUGCGGAGCGUUGUCUUACAUCUCAGCACUCGUAUUUAGGGCUCAAGCUCAAGGCUGCCCUAACGACGGAGGGAAACGUUUUCUUCUGCUGACAUUGUAAAUUCCACAAAGCUGUCGCAGGAAGGGACGGAAAGGGCCGAGCAGGGCAGGGGGACGAGGGCGCCGAGCUUCCCAGACUGGUGUUGAGCUGAUGGCUCUGUGGUUGGACACAGGCUGGAAAGCACGUGAAUCCCACAGCAGCUUCGGAACACACGAGAACUUCAAUACUGCAAAGACACCAAAUCUGGAUGGAAAACCAUUGCCAGGGUUCAAGGCUCCGUCCCUGGGUUGCUGAUGCUCCUACAUCACAGUGAUGGAACUCCGCUCCUCUGCACUCGCUGGGGUUUUCAGCUGCUGAAGGGCCUCUGCUUCCCACCUCCAUCCUCGCGGGCCUUUAUGGUGCCGUCGCUCGUCCUCCCUCCAUCUGCAGCCAGUUUGGCUCCAGCUCACUCAGCACAGUCCUCAGGAGGUUCUCCAGCCCCAACCCUGGGGAUACGGCCUGGGACAGCAGCAGUGCUGCUCCUCUGGGCAGGGUGAUGGCAGUCGGCUUGUUUUAAUUUGUUAAUUAAGGGAUUAGGCCGCUCCAAGCCGCUGUUAUCCAAACUCAAAGCGCUCCGACUCCCAUCGAGGACGGGGCGCAGCGCCCACGCAGCAGACUACAGACCCAACCUUUCAAUUAACGCAAUUACCAUCACCUGCCACAGCGCCGGCCUCAUUAAGGAAUUAACCCUGGGAUGGGUUCGACAGCAGCACGAGGGCGCGGGGUCACCGCGAUCCCCGUGAUGACACUGGGGUCACCGCCAUGCUUUGCCCCCGGGGAGCAACAGCAGAGCCCCACUGCUCCUCCCCUGCACCCCAACCUCGGGACCCCCAUCCUGAGCACGGGAUCCCCCUUUGGAUUUCCAUAGGCUGCCCCGGGGGGGGGCUCCCCGUAGCCCCACAUCCCCAAUCGCCUCUGCAUCGACAGCUUGGCGCAGCAGACGGGCACGGCUCCGCUUUCGUUAAA